AGAGUUUGAUCCUGGCUCAGAUUGAACGCUGGCGGCAUGCUUUACACAUGCAAGUCGAACGGCAGCGCGGGGGCGAACCCUACGGCGGCGGAGCGGCGGGACGGGUGGAGUAAGGCGAUCGGAAGUCUUGCCCUCGAUGUGGGGGAGUAACGUAGGGAAACGUUACGCUAAUACCGCAUACGACCGAGAGGUGAAAGCGGGGACCGAAAGGCCUCGCGCAGCAGGAUGAGCCGAUGUCCGAUUAGCUGGUUGGUGGGGUAAAGGCCGUACCAAGGCGACGAUCGGUAGCUGGUCUGAGAGGAUGAUCAGCCACACUGGGACU
rnacentral:rRNA from 1 species